ACAACGUCGUUCCACCCAUCAUAUCUCUCACCCUAUCCGGUUAAGGAAUUGAUGUAUGGAAGUGUACAUUGGCCCCCCGUGCCUUACAGGUGUGGUCGGCUCAAAAUUUGGCCCUCGGGGAUGAGCGUCACGAUCAGUGGUGGUUUAAAAACCCCUUUGUCAUUGACCGGAAUUGUAUUGACUCACUCCAUAUCAGGCUAUGCAGACCCUUGGUUGUUGGUAGCACGACAUUCACUUU
rnacentral:rRNA from 1 species